UACUGUUUUAGCAGUGAAAAGAAUACCCACAGACAAGGCACGGGUGGUGGGUCACCAAAGGCUGACCUUACCCCAGCAGAGGACAUGGCCUUGGAGCUAAAUAAAGGCAGGCCCGUCUUAGAGGGGAUCCCUGGGGGAAAGAGACGAGCAUAGGUUCCUCCCAAGAUGCCACCCGCUUCAUUCAAGUGCCUGGCAGCACUGUGUUCCUGUUAGAGCCACCAGCACAAGCACCAGACGAUGCUGAUCCAGGUGAAGGCCCCAGUGCAGCAGCAACAGCACAUGAUGGAGACGAUGAUGAGGAGGAGACCAUCUCUCUGGAUUCCAGAAGGCAUGAGGACCCAGAUGCUAUACAGUGGGAAAACCAGCCUGGCAACAUAGUGCGUAUUAAUAAAAGGACACCACAUCCUGCCAAAUUCCAGCUGCGCUAAUUGUAUUGUGUUCACAGAGCUCACAAGCUAUCAGAAAGUUGUAUGGCAACCACCUCCGGCGCCAAAUAGAACUGGCAGACAUAGACAUUCAGUACAAGAAGAAAAAGAUGGAAAAUCUUGCACUGGAGUCCGAAAUAAAAAAGAGGACAAUUAGGAAACUGGACCUUGAAAUAAAAAAACUUGAGAGGGAGCUCCAAGAAGAUGACACAGCUCAAAAUAAAAAUUAGCAAUCAGUACAACCAAGUCAUCGUUAUAAGGCAUCACCCUCUUUUGCCUACCCCCCCAGCACCAGGUGUGGCCACUAGCCUAUAUGAAGGCCCAAAAUUGUGUGUUCCUUUCUGCUCUGACAAUGGCAUGCCCAUUCGUGCGAGAUGUGGUGGAUGAAGAAGCACUUGUGCUGAGGAGAGCCUUCAGGCGAGAAAGGGUCUUCAGGGACCGGUUGGACCCACUGGCCUUCCCUGAUGACCAUCUAUAUGAAAGAUACAGGUUUUCUGCAGAUGGCAUCAGGUAUCUAUGCAGACUACUGGGUCCCAGGAUUAAGCACCGCACUGCACGGAGCCAUGCACUGAGUGUGGAGCAAAUGGUUUGUGUGGCCUUGCGCUUUUUGCUAGUGGAGCCUUCCUGUACUCAGUGGGGAUGCAGAACAGCUGAACAAGGCCACAAUUUGCCGCACAAUAAGGAGUGUGUGUCUGGCUAUCAAAGCAUUAGCAGAUGUCUUCAUCUCCUUCCCUGGCCACAGAAGACUCUGUGACAUCAAAGAGGAGUUCUAUAGGAUUGCAGGUUUCCCCAAUGUCAUUGGUGCAGUGGACUGCGCACACAUAAGGAUAAAAGCCCCCUCAGGUGCCCAUGAGGCCGAUUUUGUGAAUAGGAAAUCCUUUCACAGCAUUAAUGUUCAGAUGGUCUGCAAUGCUGACUGUGAUCAGCAAUGUUGUGGCAAAAUGGCCUGGCUCAGUCCAUGACUCCAGAAUCUUUCGGGCCUCUGAAAUCUAUCAGUGCCUAUCACAAGGUGAAUUCUCUGGUGUGUUGCUGGGAGACUGCCAGCCUUUUCUCCUGACACCUUUCACAGACCCCCAGGAAGCACAGCAGGCCUACAACCAUGCCCAUGCCAGGACCAGGGCCAGAGUUGAAAUGACCUUUGGCCUCCUGAAGGCACGCUUUCACUGCCUUCACAAAUUAAGGGUCAGCCCUGUUAGGGCAUGUGAUAUUACUGUGGCUUGUGCUGUCCUCCACAAUGUGGCCUGCCUGAGGAAGGAGAGGGCCCCCAGAGUGCCACCAGCCAUGGACUGGGACAAUCCGGCAAUCUUCCCUGAUGACGACAGUGGUCGGCUGCUGAGGGACCAAUAUGUGUUGAAUUAUUUUAGUUAGUAUGUGUGCUUUCAAUUUUGGUUAAAUAUGUCCUGCGGUGGCAGAGGAAUUUGGGUUUUUUUGGGUUCGUUUUUUGACGAAUUUGGCCUCUUAUGAUGUUUGUGCGGUAUACUGUGUGUAAUACAAGGCUGCAGGGAGGCUACUGCAUCCAUUCAUUUGUCUGUUCAGUUGAUGUGUAUGGAUUUGUCCUGCAUUUAUUUUAGUGUGCAGACAUGCAGGGUGUGUUAUAUACAGACCUUUGAAUGUGUAUGUAUCAUUUUGUAUAAUAUGCUUGGAUUCUGUGCUUUCCAUCUUGUAGAGUCACUGUGACUUCAGUUUCGAAAGGAGCUGAUGGCUUACCUGCAUUGUUUUGUCCUUAUUCAAUAAAGGAACAUAAUGUUACACAUUGUGUUUUUAUAUUCA